UUCUAAAGCUAUCAAAGGGGUGGGGGACUAAUCCAUGGUAAAUAUAAGACAUGGUUCUUUGACUCAGAAGAAAAGAGAAACACAACGUACCUGACCAUGAUUAUUGAGAUGUAAACUAUUCCAGCAGUAACAUUAUCAAGUAGGGCAAAAGAAAUAUCAAGAUGUUCAUCAAUGAAAUAUUUCCCAAUGUUCUCUGAAGCCAGAUAGCUAUUUCAGAGACAGCAUUUACAUUAUAAAAGUGGAAGAGAAAACCCACAGAUCUAAUUUACACCACUAGAUACAUCCAUGGGUCAGGCCAAGGCAGCAUGACGGCAACUGUUCACCAAAGAUGCACCAUCCUGACUAAUAUCAGAGGGAGAUGUUUUCCCAGGCAAUGAAAGAAAACAGAGAGAUAAACAUGAAAUGCAGCAAAAAAUCUGACAAAUUGUUAACAAUUUGUGAACUACGUGAAAGUCUUAGGGAUAUUGAUUGGUCCUGAUUGGAGAGCAGAAAAAAACUGAAUGAUUUUUUACCUUAAUAAAGAACUCCUACGGAGUAAAAAAAAUGUGUACUAUCAGAAAGCUAAGCAGCACAUCUAAAGGCAAUCAACGGGAUUUAAACUAACAACCUUCAAAUAUAA